rnacentral:rRNA from 1 species
GCAGUCGAGCGGACCGAUGGGAGCUUGCUCCUUUAGGUUAGCGGCGGACGGGUGAGUAACACGUGGGCAACCUGCCCUGCAGACUGGGAUAACUUCGGGAAACCGGAGCUAAUACCGGAUAACACCGAAAACCGCAUGGUUUUCGGUUGAAAGGCGGCUUUUAGCUGUCACUGCAGGAUGGGCCCGCGGCGCAUUAGCUAGUUGGUGAGGUAACGGCUCACCAAGGCGACGAUGCGUAGCCGACCUGAGAGGGUGACCGGCCACACUGGGACUGAGACACGGCCCAGACUCCUACGGGAGGCAGCAGUAGGGAAUCUUCCGCAAUGGACGAAAGUCUGACGGAGCAACGCCGCGUGAGCGAAGAAGGUCUUCGGAUCGUAAAGCUCUGUUGUCAGGGAAGAACAAGUGCCGUUCGAACAGGGCGGUACCUUGACGGUACCUGACGAGGAGGCCACGGCUAACUACGUGCCAGCAGCCGCGGUAAU